GAAGGGAUUUUGACACCACCUAUGGCGUCGGUUUUUUGGAAAUAACCGACGCCAUAGGGUGUCCCCCCUAUGGCGUCGGUUAUUUCUAAAAAAACCAACGCCUAAAGGGUUUAUAACCCUAGCCCAGCCCAUCAUCUUCCUCAUUCGACCAGCCAACCCAGAAACCCCCAAACCAGAGAACCCCAAACCCUCUCCGCCAACCACCACGAAAAACCACCCCCAUUUCACCAUUUUUUCACCAUUUUAGCUCAUUUUUGUUUCUAAAUCUUCUAUUUUUCAUACCUAAAACUAUAUACCUGAAAAGAUCACAUUUUUCCUCAUUUUUUAGGGAAAACCGAAGGUAGAGGUAGUGGUGGUGGUGGUUAUACCUCCGGCCACCGUUUUUAGUGGAGAAAACAUUGUAUUUCAACGUCUAUUAAGGAUUUUAUCGGAAGUGACUUUAUCGGAAGACAAGUACAUAAUUUUUGGUAUAAGGUAUGCUUUCUUUAACCUACUUUUAUAAGAAUAUUUUUCAUAUAUAUUUAGAUAAUCUUUAAAUGCUUAGAGUAAUUUUAGAAUAAUAUUGAUGUAAUACAUAUGAUAUAUAUUGUUGAGUGCUAAGGAUAGAUAUAGUAAGCUAUAAAAAAAAUACAAAAAAGGUCUAUAUUGGGAUUUGAACUUGUGACCAAAAGGAUAGAUUGAUAAGUUUUUACCAAUAUACCAAAACACACUAGAAUUAACAAAUACAUUAUAAACAUUGAUUCUAAUACUUAAAAUAAGAAUUCUAUUAGUUUAUGUUAAGUAAAAUAGCAAAAUAAAACACAAAAAAUACCCAAGUUCAAAAAAAAAAAAAAAAUCGCCUCAA